AUCGGGAAUUGCAUCCCAAAAAACCCCCAAAGCCCGGGAAAACACGGCUGGGAUGGGGAGGAGGAGCAGGGCAGGGGGAUCAGGGGGGGUCUGGGGUCGUUCCUGGGAAUUCUGGGGGAAUUUCCCGUUGUUUUGGGGUCGUUCCUGGGAAUUCUGGGUUCAUUUUCCAUUGAUUUGGGGUCAUUCCUGGGAAUUUUGGGGUGGGUUUGGGUCAUUCCCAGGAAAUCCAGGUGGGUUUUGGUCAUUUCCAGGAAUUCCAGGUGGGUUUUGGGUCAUUCCCAGGAAUUUUGGGUCAGUUUUGGGUCAUUCCCAGGAAUUCCAGGGGGGUUUUGGUCAUUCCCAGGAAUUCCGGGUCCAUUUCCCACCGCUCCGGGCUGGAUCCUUCUGCCAUUCCCACCAAUCCCGGGGACGAUUUUGGGCGAUUCCCGCGGGAAUUCCGUCCUGAAUUCCCGGAAUUCCGCCCUAAAUUCCCGGAAUUCCGCCCCAAAUUCCCGGAAUUCCGUCCCGAAUUCCC